CCUACGGGGGGCAGCAGUGGGGAAUAUUGGACAAUGGGCGCAAGCCUGAUCCAGCAAUGCCGCGUGUGUGAAGAAGGCCUGCGGGUUGUAAAGCACUUUAAGCAGGAAAGAAGGGCGGAGCGAUAAUACCGUUUCGCAUUGACGUUACCUGCAGAAUAAGCACCGGCUAACUCCGUGCCAGCAGCCGCGGUAAUACGGACGGAACGAGCGGGCAUCGAGAUUACUGGGCGUAUAUCGCGCGUCGGCGGUGAAAGCCCUGGGCUUAACCUGGGAACUGCGGUGGAUACUGUCGGGCUAGAGUGUGGUAGAGGGGAGUGGAAUUUCCGGUGUAGCAGUGAAAUGCGUAGAGAUCGGAAGGAACACCAGUGGCGAAGGCGGCUCCCUGGACCAACACUGACGCUGAGGUGCGAAAGCGUGGGGAGCAAACAGGAUUAGAUACCCGGGUAGUC
rnacentral:rRNA from 1 species